GACGAACGCUGGCGGCGUGCCUAAUACAUGCAAGUAGAACGCUGAAGGAGGAGCUUGCUUCUCUGGAUGAGUUGCGAACGGGUGAGUAACGCGUAGGUAACCUGCCUGGUAGCGGGGGAUAACGAUUGGAAACGAUAGCUAAUACCGCAUAAUAGUAGAUGUUGCAUGACAUUUGCUUAAAAGGUGCAAUUGCAUCACUACCAGAUGGACCUGCGUUGUAUUAGCUAGUUGGUGGGGUAACGGCUCACCAAGGCGACGAUACAUAGCCGACCUGAGAAGGUGAUCGUCCACACUGGGACUGAGACACGGCCCAGACUCCUACGGGAGGCAGCAGUAGGGAAUCUUCGGCAAUGGACGGAAGUCUGACCGAGCAACGCCGCGUGAGUGAAGAAGGUCUUCGGAUCGUAAAGCUCUGUUGUAAGAGAAGAACGAGUGUUAGAGUGGAAAGUUCACACUGUGACGGUAUCUUACCAGAAAGGGACGGCUAACUACGUG
rnacentral:rRNA from 1 species